GUGAAUCAUCGAAUCUUUGAACGCAUAUUGCACUCUCUGGGAUGCCUGUGAGUGUUUCUGUGUGAGGGUAAUUAAAAGGGUCUUUAUCCAAUUUUUGUUGGUCAAAGGAAAUGAGCUCUCCGCGUUUAUAGCGGUAGCUUGAAAUAAAUGGUCAAGUCUCAUUUUGGUCGAGACGCGUAAUAAUAUUAUUUCGCUAAAUCUUCAUUAUGUGACUAGCAAUUUUUUAUGCAUACCAAUUGGCUUUGUAUGCGAUCAAUACAAAUAUUUUAAACAUUACCUCAAAUCAGGUAGGACU
rnacentral:misc_RNA from 1 species